rnacentral:rRNA from 1 species
CACUAUGGAGACAUCCAUGUGGUCAUACUGGAAUAUGUAAGCCUCAUAGUGUCAUACUCAGAAGCUAAGCAGGGCUGGGCCUGGUUAGAGCUUGGUUGGAAGACUGCUGUGAUAUCAGGUGCCUCAGUGG